rnacentral:rRNA from 1 species
GAUGAACGCUGGCGGCGUGCCUAAUACAUGCAAGUCGAGCGAACAGACGAGGAGCUUGCUCCUCUGACGUUAGCGGCGGACGGGUGAGUAACACGUGGAUAACCUACCUAUAAGACUGGGAUAACUUCGGGAAACCGGAGCUAAUACCGGAUAACAUGUUGAACCGCAUGGUUCAACAGUGAAAGACGGUCUUGCUGUCACUUAUAGAUGGAUCCGCGCCGCAUUAGCUAGUUGGUAAGGUAACGGCUUACCAAGGCAACGAUGCGUAGCCGACCUGAGAGGGUGAUCGGCCACACUGGAACUGAGACACGGUCCAGACUCCUACGGGAGGCAGCAGUAGGGAAGCUUCCGCAAUGGGCGAAAGCCUGACGGAGCAACGCCGCGUGAGUGAAGAAGGUCUUCGGAUCGUAAAACUCUGUUAUUAGGGAAGAACAAAUGUGUAAGUAACUAUGCACGGCUUGACGGUACCUAAUCAGAAAGCCACGGCUAACUACGUG